UACGUAGGGGGCAAGCGUUGUCCGGAAUUAUUGGACGUAAAGCGCGCGCAGGCGGUGCUUUAAGUUGGUGGUUCAAGGCAAUGGCUCAACCAUUGUCCGCCGCCAAAACUGGAGCGCUGGAGUGCAGGAGAGGGGAGUGGAAUUCCCGGUGUAGCGGUGGAAUGCGUAGAUAUCGGGAGGAACACCAGUGGCGAAGGCGACUCUCUGGCCUGUAACUGACGCUGAGGCGCGAAAGCGUGGGGAGCAAACAGG
rnacentral:rRNA from 1 species